UGGGGUGUCACUCAGUGGAGAGCACUUGCUUCCCAUGUCCAAGACCCUGGGUUCAAUCCCAGCACCGCAG
rnacentral:tRNA from 1 species